GUUAGGGGGUUUCCGCCCCUUAGUGCUGCAGCUAACGCAUUAAGCACUCCGCCUGGGGAGUACGACCGCAAGGUUGAAACUCAAAGGAAUUGACGGGGGCCCGCACAAGCGGUGGAGCAUGUGGUUUAAUUCGAAGCAACGCGAAGAACCUUACCAGGUCUUGACAUCCUUUGACCACUCUGGAGACAGAGCUUUCCCUUCGGGGACAAAGUGACAGGUGGUGCAUGGUUGUCGUCAGCUCGUGUCGUGAGAUGUUGGGUUAAGUCCCGCAACGAGCGCAACCCUUGAUUUUAGUUGCCAGCAUUUAGUUGGGCACUCUAAAGUGACUGCCGGUGCAAGCCGGAGGAAGGUGGGGAUGACGUCAAAUCAUCAUGCCCCUUAUGACCUGGGCUACACACGUGCUACAAUGGAUAGUACAAAGGGUCGCGAAGCCGCGAGGUGGAGCUAAUCCCAUAAAACUAUUCUCAGUUCGGAUUGUAGGCUGCAACUCGCCUACAUGAAGCCGGAAUCGCUAGUAAUCGUGGAUCAGCAUGCCACGGUGAAUACGUUCCCGGGCCUUGUACACACCGCCCGUCACACCACGAGAGUUUGUAACACCCGAAGUCGGUAGGGUAACCUUUAUGGAGCCAGCCGCCGAAGGUGGGACAGAUAAUUGGGGUGAAGUCGUAACAAGGUAGCCGUAUCGGAAGGUGCGGCUGGAUCACCUCCUUU
rnacentral:rRNA from 1 species